UCAAAAUAAGGAGGGUGGGAAUUGUAUGGGGAAUAUAACCAAGAUGAAAAUGCAUAGAUUGUGCAAAAAUGAAAAAUGAUGUAAAAAUAUAUAUAAAAUUAAAAUAAGAAUGUUAAAAAAGAAAAAAAAAACUUUCUAUACAGGCCUCCCUGGUGGCACAGGCGGUUGAUCUCAGUGCUGUGAAGCUGUCCACAGCCUUUGCAGCACCGGUUCGAGCACGGCCGGCAGGCGAGGUCCCACAUGGCUCAGCAGUCCUCUCCUGUCAUGCCCCCUGCUCCUCUCAGCAGUGUAUUUCAUCAGUCUGCCUGUUCUGUUCCCCGCUCUGUCUCUGGUGAAUCCUCUCACCCUCCCGUGCAUCUGGCCUGUACCCUGGUUCUUGUAUAAAUAAAUAAAUCUUAAAAAAAAAAAGAAAAAAAAAAACUUUCCAUACCUCACCAUUCCUGAAGUACCACUUGUCUUUCCUUGCACCCAGAUCAGUUCCCAUACAUAGAUUCCGGAAUAGACAUUGCCCAAGCCCUUCCCCCAUGGGCAUAAUUCAGUCAGAGCAGGCAGGGAGAGGCUAAAGUCCUUAUUUAAAUUUUGCACAAUUCAGGGAAAAGGAGCCCAAAGAACCUUCCAGAAAAACCGUGAAUACAUGUGGGAGAUCAGGAGGAGGAACUGCCAGAUUCCCACAACAAAUUUGGUGUAUUGGCCAGGACAAACAAGCAAAUUAGCCCUUUGAGCCACUGGCAUAGGAGGACGUGAGGCAGGGGAUGGAUAGAAGAGCCAGGAAAAGAGAAAGUACACUGCUGAAGGUUUUGGCAGCCUCUGACUUAGUUGCUCCUGCCCAGGCCCUGAAACACUGUUGUUGGCUAGAGUUCAAAGGGCUGAGUGAGGCCAGGACUUGGCACCAAAGUCAGACCAGGAACCUGGCCUAUAGUCUGGCUGCUGUGUGCUCCAGGUCAGCAGAGGCAGGAAGACGCCAUCUUGGACACGUGGCCUAUUGCUCAGGAGAGGAGCUCUGUGUCCUCAGUGGUGGGACAACACCAUCUUAGAUGCUUUUGUUUGGGGCUUGAAAACACUGGACACUGCUUAGGGUGAGACAAACGACCAUUUUGGCCUCAGUAACUCUUUGUUUUUCCCUGGUAUGUUAAAUAAAUCCCAUUGUUUUUGUUCUCUGAGCCUAAUUAGUCGUACAAUUGUGACUAAGUUUGAAGAACUCAGACAGUGACUGGUAAACUAUUAGACAGUGUUCUUGGCAGGUUUUAGUGUUUCUUGUUGCCCUGUAUCAAUAGGAGGGACUUCUGGUUUUAAAUUAUCAUAAUCUAAAAAUAUGGUCAUACUAGAGGAAGGAAAUUCAGGAUCUAAUGUUUCUUUUUGAAGAAGGCUCUGAAGAGAUGCAAAGACUGGAAGUAUUGCUAAGUAUUCCUUAUUGUUAAGUAUCCCUUAUUUGAAAAGAAUAAAUUAAAUCUUAGGUGACUGAGUACCUAGAAAAUUUUACUUUAUGUUUAAAAGUCUAAACUUUUGGUCAAAAUUAAUUCUAGUUACAUUUGUAACUGGAAGACCAGAGUUCAGGCCACCUGCCACCACCAAAUGCCAAUAAAGGAGAGACAGGGAUUGAAUCUUUAAAGGGUGUUUUAAUCAGAUAGCUGGCAAUCUGGAAGAUGGGGGGUUAACACCCUAAAGAAACCACCUUAAUAUUUCAUUUCCAGCUGCCUUUUUAUAGUAAGUUGAACAAAGAGAGUUCUGCAGUAAGAUGGCCUUCACUGCUGCCAGGAGAUUAUGAUGUCCAGCCCCAUGAACUCCUUAUCACCCUCCUGGACACCUGACUCAGGCUCAUCCUAGUGUGCUGAGUUUUCAGGAUCUUCAGAGGUUCUGGAGUCAGCGAUUUCUACCCCACCCUGCUGAUCUUCUAGUAGGCUGUUGUGGGGCUCUAAAGGACAUGGAGAGGCUUCCAGCAGCCAACCUCAGAGAAGAAAAGUUUGGAGGCUUUGCAAGAAGCUGAGCAGCUAAAACUGUUCCCAGUUUUGCUGCUGUUACUGCCUGGCAGGGAAGGCAGAGACCUGGAGCCAGGUGCCUCGCUGAGCUGUGGCUGUUUGUUGGGUUGUUUAGCUGCUGCUGCUGCUGUCUUGAGUGUUGCUUGUCUAGUGUUGUGCUGGGGCAUCUUGGCUGUCCCUGGAGCAUCUCCUGUUGUAUCUUCUGCUGUCUUCGUGAGUUGGAGCCUGGCCUAUAGUCUGGCUGCCAUAUGCUCCAGGUCAGCAGAGGCAGGAAGACACCAUCUUGGACAUGUGGCCUAUUGUUUGGGAGAGGAGCUCCACAUCCUCAGUAGCAGGAAGAUGCCAUCUCAGAUGCUUUUGUUUAGGAUUUAAGCACUGGACACUGCUUUGGGUGAGGUAAACAACCAUUUAUGUUCUCAGUAACAAUUUGUUUUUCCCUGGUUUGUUAAAUAAAUCCCUUUGUUGUUGUUCCC